AUAGCGUAUAUUAAAGUUGUUGCCGUUAAAAAGCUCGUAGUUGAACCUUGGACCUGGCUGAUCUGUCCUCCUAAUCGAGCGUACGGAUUCGGUCGGGUCUUUCCUUCUGGGGAGCCCUAUGCCCUUCACUGGGUGUAGCGGGGAACCAGGACUUUUACCUUGAAAAAAUUAGAGUGUUCAAAGCAGGCCUUUGCUCGAAUACAUUAGCAUGGAAUAAUAGAAUAGGACAUCGGUUCUAUUUUGUUGGUUUCUAGGACCGCUGUAAUGAUUAAUAGGGAUAGUCGGGGGCGUCCGUAUUCAAUUGUCAGAGGUGAAAUUCUUGGAUUUAUGGAAGACGAACUACUG
rnacentral:rRNA from 1 species